rnacentral:rRNA from 1 species
UACAGAGGGUGCAAGCGUUAAUCGGAAUUACUGGGCGUAAAGCGUGCGUAGACGGUUAUGUAAGUCAGAUGUGAAAGCCCCGGGCUUAACCUGGGAAUGGCAUUUGAGACUGCAUAGCUAGGGUGCGGAAGAGGGAAGCGGAAUUUCCGGUGUAGCGGUGAAAUGCGUAGAUAUCAGGAGGAAUACCGAUGGCGAAGGCAGGUCUCUGGGCUGACACUGACGCUCAUGCACGAAAGCGUGGGGAGCAAACAGG